AGAAAGGGAGAAAGAGCUAUCUAUCUGAAAAAGGUGUAAUAUGAGGCCAAUAUCUGAAGAUGCUGAUGCUUCUGCUGCUCCUGGGGCCCAGUUCCGGGCUUGGUGCCCUUGUCUCUCAAGAUCCAAGAACAGCGGUCCGUAGGAGCGGAACCUCUGUGCUGAUCCAAUGCCGUUCAGUGGACCUUCAAGCCACAACUGUGUUUUGGUAUCGUCAGUUCCCGGAACAGGGCCUCACGCUGAUGGCAACGUCUAACGUGGGCUCCAAACCUGCGUUCGAACAAGGUUUCUCUGAUGCCAAGCUCUCCAUUAGCCACCCGAACACCUCGUUUUCGUCUCUGACGGUGAUGAGUGUGAAGCCUGCAGACAGCAGCCUCUACUUCUGCGGUGCUAGUAACACAGCGCUGGGUGGAGACCAGAGACCCAGACAAGAACCCUGA